UUUUCUUUCCUGCUAGGGUUUCUCUUUUUCCUUCUACGCAGCUCUUCAUUUCUCUCGCUCGAUUCUCCGCCUGCUCUCUUAUCUUUUUCCGGUCGUUUUUGGGUUUCCGGCCGCCAAUCUCCAUUAGAUCCGUUCUUUCCUAUUACAGCCGACGGUUGAUUGAGAUUUGGGCAACUUUUCUCACCAUCAACCAAUGAAGCAUAUAGUCAAGAUUUUGACAUUACUAGUGGCCGUAUCAGCUCUGUGGAUUGGCCUCUUGCAGACAUCUAUAUUACCACAUGGCCAUGCUUGGUUGCUACCCAUCUAUUUUAUUGUCUCCCUAGGAUGCUAUGGUCUAUUGAUGGUUGGAAUCGGUCUCAUGACAUUUCCAACUUGCCCUAGAGAAGGACUGUUGCUACAGAAGGACAUUGUUGAGGCCAAAGAGUACCUUAAGCAAAAAGGGGUUGACAAAUUCUAACUGACAGAUCUGUUUGUUUGAUCACGGUGAAGAACACUUCAUCCAUUUCAAAGGGCCUUCUUGAUUUGAAUCCUUUUUAAAGGCAGUAAAUGAGGCUUCAUGUAUAGAACAGAAUUCUUCUCUAUAACUUUGUCAGUUGGUAUCUUUCAUUUAUAAACAGGGUUGGUUGGUGAUCGAAUUUUGUCCCAGUGGCGGCCGGAGUUGGCCAAUGGCGGGGAAUUGGUCGACGACGGUCGUCAGAGGUGGUGUUGAAGUUAGCCGAAUGCCAGCGUUGUUCGUAUGAGUUGGUCAGCGGAGAUUGCCAGAGGGUGGUAGCCGAAGUUGGCCGGCGGCGAUGGAGGCGGCCGAAGUUGGCCUGGUGGUCACCAAAGGGAAGUUAGCCGACGUACAUCCUAGAUUAAAUUAGGAAGAAAACCAAAAAGAAAAAAAGAAAAAAAAUGGUAACCCAUGGAUUUGAAUAGUAAACAUUAUUCAAUCCCAUGAAAAAAUGAUGACUUCCUAAAUUUAUGUCCCAAACAAAGGUUGGACUUAACCUGCCUAAUUCAUCCAAUCUCAACCUUUGAAACAAACACCCUCUCAGAAAUGGGUGGACAAAAAAAUCAGUUUAAAAUGCAUUCUCUUUACUCA